rnacentral:lncRNA from 1 species
GCACACUGCUGGGAAAUUUUCUUGUUUUCUUCUUUCUUUUCAGGGUAAAGCACAUCCAGACAUCGACACACGAUGAAUGGGAACAUAAAUCAUCUCAACUAGAUGCCAACGGACAACUAGGAAACACUCAACGUUUACCAAAACCAACGGAGAGGUAACUCAACUCUACUGGGGAUAACCAGGAAAGGAUACAACCAUACGUCAGCGGACGUAAUGGGGAAAAACUCAACGU